CCAGACUCCUACGGGAGGCAGCAGUGGGGGAUAUUGCACAAUGGGGGAAACCCUGAUGCAGCGACGCCGCGUGAGUGAAGAAGUAAUUCGUUACGUAAAGCUCUAUCAGCAGGGAAGAAAAUGACGGUACCUGACUAAGAAGCCCCGGCUAAAUACGUGCCAGCAGCCGCGGUAAUACGUAUGGUGCAAGCGUUAUCCGGAUUUACUGGGUGUAAAGGGAGCGCAGGCGGCGCGUUAAGCCUGGUGUGAAAGCCCGCGGCCCAACCGCGGGACUGCAUUGGGAACUGGCGCGCUGGAGUGCCGGAGGGGUAGGCGGAAUUCCUAGUGUAGCGGUGAAAUGCGUAGAUAUUAGGAGGAACACCAGUGGCGAAGGCGGCCUGCUGGGCUUUUACUGACGCUGAGGCUCGAAAGUGUGGGGAGCAAACAGGAUUAGAUGCCCCCGUAGA
rnacentral:rRNA from 1 species